UACGGAGGGUGCAAGCGUUAUCCGGAUUCACUGGGUUUAAAGGGUGCGUAGGCGGGUAGGUAAGUCAGUGGUGAAAUCUUCGAGCUUAACUCGGAAACUGCCUUUGAUACUAUCUAUCUUGAAUAUUGUGGAGGUAAGCGGAAUAUGUCAUGUAGCGGUGAAAUGCUUAGAUAUGACAUAGAACACCUAUUGCGAAGGCAGCUUACUACGCAUAUAUUGACGCUGAGGCACGAAAAGCGUGGGGAUCAAACAGG
rnacentral:rRNA from 1 species